UACGGAGGGUGCAAGCGUUAAUCGGAAUUACUGGGCGUAAAGGGUGCGUAGGUGGUUUUAUAAGAUAUCUGUGAAAUUCCUGGGCUCAACCUGGGGAGGUCAGAUAAGACUGUAAGACUCGAGUAUAGGAGAGGGUAGUGGAAUUUCCGGUGUAGCGGUGAAAUGCGUAGAGAUCGGAAGGAACACCAGUGGCGAAGGCGGCUACCUGGCCUGAUACUGACACUGAGGCACGAAAGCGUGGGGAGCAAAC
rnacentral:rRNA from 1 species